rnacentral:rRNA from 1 species
AUUGAACGCUGGCGGCGUGCUUAACACAUGCAAGUCGAUCGGUAACAGGUGUAGCAAUACAUGCUGACGAGAGGCGGACGGGUGAGUAAUGCUUGGGAAUCUGCCUAUUAGGUGGGGGACAACCCGGGGAAACUCGGGCUAAUACCGCAUACGCUCUACGGAGGAAAGCCGGGGACCGCAAGGCCUGGCGCUAAUAGAUGAGCCCAAGUCGGAUUAGCUAGUUGGUAGGUAACGGCCUACCAAGGCGACAAUCCGUAGCUGGUCUGAGAGGACGACCAGCCACACCGGAACUGAGACACGGUCCGGACUCCUACGGGAGGCAGCAGUGGGGAAUAUUGGACAAUGGGGGCAACCCUGAUCCAGCGACGCCGCGUGGGUGAAGAAGGCCUGCGGGUUGUAAAGCCCUUUCGGUGGGGAAGAAAAGUCUCGACCUAAUACGUCGGGACCUUGACGUAACCCACUAAAGAAGCACCGGCUAACUCUGUGACAGCCGCCGCCGUAAU